GGUGCCCUGGUGCUUUCUUGUUGGGUCAGAGAGCUCACCGCUGGGAGGGAACAUGCAAGAGUUGCCUAAUCCAUCUCUCCGCUGUAGCUCUGUCUGCAUGAAUAAUGAUAUUCUAUUUCGAAUAACAGACAAGCAGGAGAAUGAGAUAGUUGCCAGAGGUAAACCAGAAAAGUAUUGGGUGAUUUUACCUCAUAUAACAAAAGCAAGAGACAGACCAAAAUCAGAGUCAUCCCAAUGCAGAGGACUUUGAGGCACUGCCAGGCAGGCUGUUCCUACAGGGAAUAUUGUGCUAUGGGGGUGUGCAUAUGUGGAGCACUGCUGGCAUUGCAUGGAUGGGACCAGUGAGUAUGUCUCUGCGUGGCCUUGGUCUAAACCAACUUGUUCUGUCAGAAGGCUUAUAUCACUUCUUAAAAGUGAAU